CUUUCAAUUCGUCUCACGUGGCGUCUGGUGGAAGCCGCCUGUGCACAGACAGAAGGUCAGUGACGCCACGAAUGAAUAGCCUGCCAAGGCCUUGGCAAAAAGAUUAAUUAUGUGGAUUAGUUGUAAGAAAGGCAGCUGAUACUUGUAAAUCCAUACUGUUGCAGCAGGUCAACAGAAGGGGAAUUAUGUCUAAAUAUGGGACCUCAAAAAUGAACCUUUCUUUGAAACAUAUGAAAAUACCAUUAUUAUGUUUCAGUAAAAUUCCACUACACAUUUAACAACAUGAUUGUAUAACGCUCUGCCAUCAUACUGAGCUGUAAGAGUCAUUAAAGGAAACACACACAAAAUGCUGGAACACAUCAGGUCACGCAGAAUCUAUGGAAAGGAAUAAAGAGCUUACUUUUUGGGCUGAGACCCUUCAUUGGGACUGGAAACCAUGGGAGAAGAAGCCGGAAUUAGAAGGUGGUGGGAGGGGAAGCUAUAAGUGAAGUCAGGUGAGGGAGAAAGGAAGAUGAAGUGAGAAGCUGGGGGGUGAUAGAUGGAAAUGUAAAGGGCUGAAGAAGAAGGAAUCUGAUAGAGAGGAAAGGACCAUGGGAGAAAGGGAAGGAGGAGGGGCACCAGAGGAAGGUGAUAGGCAGGUGCAGGAAAAGAGAAGGGGUAAGAGGGAUCCGGAAUGAGAAAUAAGAGAAGGUGGGGAGAAAUUAUGGGAAGUUAAAGAAAUCUCUGUUCACGCUGUUAGGUUGGAGGCUACCCAGAUGGAUAUGAGGUGUUGCUCCUCUAACCUGAGAAAAUCAUCAUCAUUGUAGUAGAAGAGGCUUUGGACCAACAAGUCGGGAUGGGAAUAAGGAGUGGAACUAAAAUGUCUGGCCAUCAGGAAUCCCUACCUGUUGCAGAUGAAGCCAAGGAGCUUGACAAAGGUAUUAGAAAAACAGACUGACAUUCAUCGGACAGCUCCCUCAGAACUAAGUUCAGUGAUGUGACACCGGAGACAUUUACGAUUGAAUAUUCUGGGAUGUUUGGACACGUUUGUAACCCCGAAAGAAGGGCAGGAGGAAACCUGAACUGCUCUGCACCUGGACCCACGAAUAACCAGCUCGGCCAGAUCAAGAGCAAGCCAACUAGCAGUUCCUCUGAGUGGCCCACUCUCUGUACUGAGUGACUGUAGAUCAGUACUGUGGGGCAGAGCUUCAGAAGAAGACCCUUUUCAUAUUCAAGUAGAGAACACAAUGCUUCUCAUUCCACAUACACGUGGUACACUGUCUCCACCUGACAGGAUAAUGACUCUUAUAAUGAAGUUCUCCGUCCAUAGGAAGUGCACAGUGAAGAGAUUGCAGAUGCUGGAAUAUGAACCAACAAACAACCUGCAGGAAGUACUCAGUUGUGGGAAGGAAUUAUCGAUGUUCUGGAUCAAAACCUUGCACCAAGACUGAGAGUGUAGAGGGAAAGUAGCCAGUA